rnacentral:rRNA from 1 species
UGGGGAAUAUUGGACAAUGGGCGCAAGCCUGAUCCAGCCAUGCCGCGUGAGUGAUGAAGGCCUUAGGGUUGUAAAGCUCUUUCGGCGGGGACGAUAAUGACGGUACCCGCAGAAGAAGCCCCGGCUAACUUCGUGCCAGCAGCCGCGGUAAUACGAAGGGGGCUAGCGUUGUUCGGAAUCACUGGGCGUAAAGGGCGCGUAGGCGGCUUUGUCAGUCGGGGGUGAAAGCCUGUGGCUCAACCACAGAAUUGCCUUCGAUACUGCAAGGCUUGAGACCGGAAGAGGUCAGUGGAACUGCGAGUGUAGAGGUGAAAUUCGUAGAUAUUCGCAAGAACACCAGUGGCGAAGGCGGCUGACUGGUCCGGAUCUGACGCUGAGGCGCGAAAGCGUGGGGAGCAAACAGG